AAGCUGUAAGUGAGUAUUGGAGGGAACUUAACAAGCUGGAAUUUCCUUUCUUUUUCAUUUGUUAAGUUUUCUCCAAUAUCUCAUCUCCAGCCU
rnacentral:pre_miRNA from 1 species